rnacentral:rRNA from 1 species
AUUGAACGCUGGCGGCAUGCCUUACACAUGCAAGUCGAACGGCAGCACGGGAGCAAUCCUGGUGGCGAGUGGCGAACGGGUGAGUAAUAUAUCGGAACGUGCCCAGUCGUGGGGAUAACGUAGCGAAAGCUACGCUAAUACCGCAUACGAUCUACGGAUGAAAGCGGGGGAUCGCAAGACCUCGCGCGAUUGGAGCGGCCGAUAUCGGAUUAGGUAGUUGGUGAGGUAAAGGCUCACCAAGCCGACGAUCUGUAGCUGGUCUGAGAGGGAGAUCCCCCCACACUGGUACUGAGACACGGACCAGACUCCUACGGGAGGCAGCAGUGAGGAAUAUUGGACAAUGGGCGCAAGCCUGAUCCAGCCCAUGCCGCGUGCAGGAUGACGGUCCUAUGGAUUGUAAACUGCUUUGUACAGGAAGAAACCCUUUNACGUGUGGAAGAUUGACGGUACUGUAAGAAUAAGCACCAGCUAACUACG